rnacentral:rRNA from 1 species
UACGGAGGGGGCUAGCGUUGCUCGGAAUCACUGGGCUUAAAGGGCGCGUAGGCGGGUGCUCAAGUCUGUGGUGAAAUCCUCCGGCUCAACCGGAGAACUGCCAUGGAUACUGGGUGCCUCGAGGGUGGUAGGGGUAUGCGGAACUAUCGGUGGAGCGGUGAAAUGCGUUGAUAUCGAUAGGAACUCCGGUGGCGAAGGCGGCAUACUGGACCACUUCUGACGCUGAGGCGCGAAAGCCAGGGGAGCAAACGGG